rnacentral:piRNA from 1 species
UCAGAGGUCUUCCUGGACCGUUUGUCAGAUC